rnacentral:lncRNA from 1 species
CAUCUCAACACCUUUCUGCUCAUAUCACUCCUUUACUUAACAUCUCAACACCUUUCUGCUCAUAUCAUUCCUUUACUUAACAUUUCAACACAGACCUCUCUACUCAUCACUCCUUUACUUAACAUUUCAACACAGACCUCUCUACUCAUAUCACUCCUUUACUUAACAUCUCAACACCUUUCUGCUCAUAUCACUCCUUUACUUAACAUUUCAACACAGACCUCUGCUCAUAUCACUCCUUUACUUAACAUUUCAACACAGACCUCUCUACUCAUAUCACUCCUUUACUUAACAUCUCAACACCUUUCUGCUCAUAUCACUCCUUUACUUAACAUUUCAACACAGACCUCUCUACUCAUAUCACUCCUUUACUUAACAUCUCAACACCUCUCUACUCAUAUCACUCCUUUACUUAACAUUUCAACACAGACGUCUCUACUCAUCACUCCUUUACUUAACAUUUCAACACAGACCUCUGCUCAUAUCACUCCUUUACUUAACAUUUCAACACAGACCUCUGCUCAUAUCACUCCUUUACUUAACAUUUCAACACAGACCUCUGCUCAUAUCACUCAUUUACUUAACAUUUCAACACAGACCUCUGCUCAUAUCACUCAUUUACUUAACGUUCCACUUAUCAUUUUGGUUAACCUCUUCUUUUUAGUUGUUUUUUGUAUCACACGCUUUUAUCAGUUUGCCAGUCUGAGAGAUGACGUCUAUCAUUAACUAUUUCAACCUCCUCUGUUGGGGGAGGGGUUUACACACGGUUCUGACAUUUCAUUGGCUCAUCUUUGCUGUGGAGGUGGGUGGGGGGGGCUUUACUUGACGGAUUCAUGUUUGAUUGAAUGACUGUACGAUAAAGAUGUGUGAUUUCUGAUUGGUGGGUUUUGACUGUGAGACGGGCGAGGACUGUUUGUAUGUAAAGGAUCGACUCUUGUCGGGGAGGGGUGGGGUUUGUUUGAUUGACAGCUGUAUGAGUUAUAUCCAGACUUCCACACUGAGCUGUUUCAAACGUUGU